AUAGCCCAUGUGACCAGAGCUUCCUUCGCGCGCACGCGCCGCGGGCGUUGUCCUGACAACGAGUCUCGAGAGCAGCUGAUGCUCAUUACUGUCAGUCAGCGUCUUUCCGCGUAGUGUCUGCUCCAUAAAAUAUGGUUUGGUUGAUUUCCUCACUGAAAUUAUCGUUCAUAUAGGUUCAUAUUUAUGAACUAUCACAAUUAAAACACAAAGACAUGACAGCAUUACUCGUGGUGACGACGGUCAUUUUAACAAGUGGAAUGGAAGAGAAGCGUUUUCUGGAAGAAAAGAAGUUCAUUGCGCGAGGCUUUGUCAAGUCAUUCAGCUUAGAGGUGAGUAAAUUAUAACAUAUAAUGUCCUCAUAUUUCUCUUUUUUUAUUUUAGAUUGGUGUAAAAAAGACUUUACGUAUAUGUUGUUCAGCCCGGUGGGAAAAUAAGAGGAAACGCCGCUUUUAUUAUGUAAUGUUAGUUUUACCAUUCUCCGGUUUAACGUUACACUGUUUAACGUUAGUGUUAACUGCGUCACAGCAGAUUGUGUAACUUAUGUUUGCCCUUUGCAGAAAAUUGUCUAUCACUAUUAACGCAUUUUUUUUAAACUAUCUGUAUUGUAUGAAGUGCUAUACACGGUGACUUUACUUGUUUAAAUUUAAUAUCAGGAAUAUUAGAAAUAUCAGACACUAACUUACUGGAAAAUACAAGCAAAUAUGUUCAGUAGUUUGACAUUGUGUGCAGAAAGGAAUUUUUUUUUUUUUUUUAAGUAGGCUAACUUACUUUUUUUGUGUGAUUGCUAUUUCCAGGAAAAUGUACUGGUAACAACUAAAAACAGAAGACGAUGGCUGGGGUGAAACAAAUAUGCACUCACAGACUUUAAAAAUUGUGUGUCUCUGCUUUUUUUCAGAAAUACAUGUUAUUGGGCAAAUUGUGUAGACUGUCAAUGGAGUGACAGAAAGAUUUCAUCAAAAAGAUCUUCAGUUGUGUUCCCCGUGUCUUGCGGGGUUGGAAUGACAUGAGGACUACUUCCAAAAUUGUGUUUCCACAUCUGAGAUGAAGGCAGUGAAAAGAACGAAGUGGAAUAAGAAUAAGCUCUUCAAAAAACACAACUUCUCUGAAUAAUGUGGGGGAAGAUGUUUGCAUGAUUUGUAAAUAAACACUUUAAAUACA